rnacentral:lncRNA from 12 species
CACAUCAGGCUCAUUUGGCUGGAGACAUCCGCUAGUCAAAGAUGUUCUCCUGUUGCUUGCCGACUUCCCGGGGCUCUGGCUUCCAGAAACCCCAGGGAUGCGGCUUUUUCACUUGCUGUGGAUUUUGGUUCCACCGUCACACCCCACGCCUCAGGGCAUUUGCCAGGAGGCGCCCUAAGAGAUCCACACAGGAGAGGGGGCAGGAGUGGGAGGAAGAGAACCUCUGCUCCACCUCCUUGAGGAACGGGAAAGUGCCCUGCAUAGCUAAGAGAGGCCAGCGCGGGCUCAAGGUGAGUUCAGGGCCUACGGUGAUUGAGCCGGGCACGGCGGCUGGAGUUGAGUGCUUGGCACCAGCUGAGAUGCCAGGUUCUGUGUUCAAGCCAAUGCAAGUGGUGGUCACAGCUCCAAUUCACUGUCCCAACCUGGUGGAGCCACCUGAAACCUUGGCCACCUUGGAAGAAGAGCAGGCCCGGGUGCACACUAUCGUGGUCCCCGACAUGCCGAAGCAACCACCAACCUCAGUCGAGCAACCAGCUUCGGCCCUUGAGCAACAUGCUGAACCACCUCAAGAGCCUGCCCAGUCUCCUACCGUGGGGUCAGCUGAAGCUUCUGGGCCUGAUCUGUUCAAGCCAGACACCGCUGUUGGAGCUGAGUGUUUCGCCCAAGUCAAUAUGCCAGCUGCUGAGUUGAAGCCAAUGCACAUGGUGGGCACACCUCUAAUUCACUGUCCCAACCUGGAGGAGCCACCUGCACCCUUGGCUGCCCUGGAUGAGGAGCAGUCCCCAGAGGCUGCAAUCAAGGUCCCUGAAGAGCUGGAGCAGCCACCUGUUUCAGUGCAGCAACCAGCUUCGGCCCCUGAGCAACAUCAUGAACCAUGUCAAGAGCCCGCCCCAGCUACCACUACGGGACCUGAUGAGCCAUCAGGGCCUGAGAUGAUCGAACUGGUCACGGCUGCUGAAGCUGAGUGCUUGGCAGGAGCAGAGAUGGCACCUGCUGAUUCGAAGCCACUGCAGGUGUUGGUCACACCUGUGAUUCACUGUCCAGACCUGGAGGAACCACCUGCACCCGUGGCCCCUCCAAAAGGUGAAGCAGGCCCCAGUGCCUGCUCUCAAGUUCUUCAAAGGGCUGGUGCAGCCACCUGCCUUAGCAGAGAAGCCGGCCUCGGCCACCGAGCAGCAGCUCGUGAUGCCUGCAGCCCAAUGGAAGGCUUCCCCUCCCCUCUCGUUGCGCUGUUUCUAAUUUUUGUGGUUGCCAUAAACCUCUAUAAUUGGUUCAUGAAUUUUGUUUGUAAUAAAAGUUAACUUUGUAUAAAAAUUUCCUCUGAUGCUUUUAAAUUAUACAUCAUGGUACUUUAGUCCAUUCCAAGUGUCACCCAGGCGAGACCAGAAGGUACUUGGGCCACAUUUCCACCAGAGACAACCGACUACUGACCAUCCUGCUCAUGCCCUCCCUGCUGUCCCUGCAGCCCCUGCCUUUCUCUCUGUCUCUGCUGCUUUUCCUCCUCUGGGACAUGCAUGUGCCUGGAGUCCUCGGUGUGGCCUCCUGUCUCUGCCGCAGACACAGAGCGACUCAUCGUUUUCCCAGUAGUGAAGAAACAUACCAUUUUUAUUUCAAAGCCAUAUCCCUAGUGAACAAAGAUCAUGUGAAUCCCCCAAAUGAAAUACUUUCAUUAUCCAGGAUAGGGUUCCCUCGAUGUCAUGUGUCAGGUAGUAAAGUAAAUGGUUCCUUAAGGUUGCAGACAGAUAAAAAAAAAAAAAAAAAAAAAAGGUUGCAGACAGAUAGUAUUUACUUAAUAAAAUGAGGAUUCCCAUAGAAAGAAAAGAGGAC